CUGUCAAAUUUCUUUGAGGAAAAACAUCCCCUGUUUUGGCUGUUUCCACCCCUCUUUUUCUUUGAUUUUCCAAUGUCAGUGGUCAUCACUGACCGUCAGUCUGGAUUUCUUGGGCUGUACCAUCACAGCCCCAACAGCCAUCGGCCACCACCAUACCAGAUAGAGCUUUUGAUCCAAAGAACAAAAAAGGGGACCACGGUCUCCUGUUCUGUUUAAACGA
rnacentral:lncRNA from 1 species